rnacentral:lncRNA from 1 species
AGCCAAAUUUUGGAACCACUGUCUUACACCCUGGCCACUUUCCCCUUUCCCGUUGCCUCCCUUGGCGCGCCCUGAGCCAUUUGACUCCUGCUCUUCUCCAGAUCCCAAAGUUUGGCUUCCCAGGCUGUGCCAGGCCGGCUUGGCCCUGCCCACUGCUUUAAUCCCACCCUAGUUCUGGGAUUGUGAAGCCAAACAUUUCCUCCUUCACUCCUCCCCAAGUCCCUUCUUAGUGUAGGUGGUUUUACUUUUUGGGGGCGUUUCGGGUGAGGACCUUUGUCCGAGACUUCUGAAAAAACGAAAGAACUCCGAUCCUCCUCUGGUCUGAGUUUCUGCCCUGCAUCAUUUUCUUUGUCACAGAGGAACAUCUUUUAACAUUCUCGCAAGGAGAACACAGACCGUGCUCCAACAAGUGUCUGACAACAAUUUGAAGCUUGAUGUUGAGCCCUUCAAAACCACACAGUCUUAGUGUAUCUAAACACCUGAAGAAGAAACUGCUGGUUGCUUACUCCAACAUCUGUUCUUCUCUUCCUCAACAACAAAGACUUGAAUUUGUUUUUUUUUUAAUAUAUUCUUUUUUUUUUUUUGAGGAAGAUUAGCCCUGAGCUGACAUCUGCUGCCAAUCCUCCUCUUUUUGCUGAGGAAGGCUGGCCCUAAGCUAACAUCUGUGCCCAUCUUCCUCUCCUUUAUAUGUGGGACGCCUACCACAGCAUGGCUUGCCAAGCGGUGCCAUAUCCGCACCCAGGAUC